UUGUAAAUAUAUAUUAUACUUUAAAUCAAAUGUUAUUAUAGAAGAGCUAACAUACGUUUAGGUUAUUUAAUUUAAGUAUCGUUUUUUGCCGUGAUGUUUAAUCACGUUAUUUUCUUGUAGAUAUUCUGUGAAUUUGUGUUUUGUAAAUCAUAUUCAUGUAUAUAUACGCACAUAUAUUAAUAUAUAUUUAAUGUAUAAUUUAUAAAAGUAUAAAUAAAUUUAAUGCAUAAUUUGAAAAGAUUGGUAUAAAUAAUACGAAACAAUUUUACGUAACCUUAAUCAUUAUAAUCUGUAUGAAAGUUACAAAUUUGUCAGUAAAAAGAGAUAAAAAAAAGAAAAUCAAUGGUUUGAAACAAUAAAUAUUUGAAAAUAAGAGCUUAAUGAAGUGUUUUAAUUUUCUUUAGUUUUCUUUGUUUGUUUAAUUUGAAGGUGGAAAUGGACAAUAUGGAAAUUACAAUGGUCUAAUCUGGUGAUUUGUGUUGUAAAAAUUGUAAAUACUGUGAUGGAAUAUUUGAAAUGUAUUGUAUAUAAUAUCGAACCUGGUAAAAAAAGAAAAUUCAUAAACAAAAGCACAUGUAAAAUUAUUACAGGUACAAUUGCUCAAUUUUUUUCUGUAGAAGAUAAAGUUCGUAAUAUCGUGUAGAUUUGUUCAAUUGACAUUAAUAAUUUUUAAUGAAAUGGGAACAUGACUCGUUUCAUUAGAAUCCACUGCAUUAUGUUUUCUUAUGAAAAUGGUAAAGGAAGUUUUGACUCUAGUUUUCUUAAAUGUGAAAAAAUUCAUCCAAUAUGCACACUGCCACUGCACACACUGUCAAUGUACACAGGCAGCCUUAAAAUGUUAUGCAGAAGCACGACUGUUAAUUUUAAGGCUAUUCUAUUCUAUCAUCUUUAAACGUAAUGAAACAAAGCAAGAAAUUUGGUUACCAGAUAUAAGAACUUUUGGUCCAACGUGUAUCUAAUAAUAUAUAAUGACAAAUAUAAUAUAUAAUAUAAUGAUAGUAAAAUACUAAAUUUGGAUUAAACAUCCAUCAGAAGAAUUUAAAGUUGUGAAUAUUAAUCUAGAUGAAAAUGAUUUAAGCAUAUCAAAAGAACAUGAAUAUUAACGUAUCAUGUAUCAUAGGAUGAUAAGAUAAGAAGAUAAAAUGUUAAGGAUUGAUAAGAAGAUUGAUAUUAAAUAUUUUUACGAAAUAUUCAUUUUAUAUAAAUAAAAUUAUAGAUCUUGAUAAUCUAACUACGGAUGAUACAGGUACAGAUGUUUCAAGAUGAUACUUUAACAGUUGAAAGUUUAGAUUGAAAUAGAUUAUAUUUAGAUUCAAUGGCUCAAUUUAGAAUCUACAAUUUUACCACACAGUAUCAUUGAAAAUUUUGAAGUUGGAUCGUAUUGUAUUGUAUGGAUGUGAUCGUAUCUUAUUAGAGAAUAAUAUGAUAUCUGUUUAUAUUUUUAUAUUUUUAUAUUUAACAUAUAUUCAAUGAUAGGCAAUAAUAGAGAUUGGCAUAGUGAAAUUAAAUAGAAGUUUGAAAAUCAUAUGAUAAGCAAUAUGUAAUUGAACAAAUAAAUUAUAGAAAAAAA